rnacentral:rRNA from 1 species
AUUGAACGCUAGCGGGAUGCUUUACACAUGCAAGUCGAACGAGUGGCGGACGGGUGAGUAAGAUACCGGAACGUGCCCAGUAGCGGGGGAUAAAUACUCGACAGAGUGGCUAAUACCGCAUACUUUUGGAGCGGCCAAUAUUGGAUUAGCUAGUUGGUUGGGUAAAGGCUCACCAAGGCAACGAUCCGUAGCUGGUUUGAGAGGACGACGAGCCACACUGGGACUGAGACACGGCCCAGACUCCUACGGGAGGCAGCAGUGGGUAAUUUUGGACAAUGGGGGAAGCCCUGAUCCAGCCAUCCCGCGUGUAUGAGAAGGCCUUCGGGUUGUAAAGUACUUUUGGCAGAGAAGCGGUAUCUGCAGAAUAAGCACCGGCUAACUACGUGCCAGCCGCCGCGGUAAUAC